GCCCGGAUGGUCUAGUGGUAUGAUUCGCCCUUAGGGACCGAAAUGGACUCUGCGUUUAAAGAGCUGGGCGAGGUCCCCGGUUCAAUCCCGGGUUCGGGCC